GGACCAAGGCCAUGGAGGGGCGUGUGCCAGAGGGAUGUGCAGGUCUGGUGCGUCUGAGGCAAGCCGUUCGCUGUUGCUGAGCUUAUUAUAUAAGAGGAGUGUGUGGCCGGACAGGCAGGCAAACUGCCUUCAAAGGUCAUCUGAUUUUUCCCCAAAGAAGCCACUGAGGAAUUUCGAGCAGCUCCAGCUGCCUAGGAGAUGACAGGCUUGUCACAGGGCCGGGGAGAGAGGUGCUGGUCAGAAGGUCAAAAGGGUCCUUCUCUCUCGUGGCUGGCCCCAUGGCCGAGUGGUUAAGUUCGUGCGCUCCACU